CUAGGAGUGAAUUGACCAAUUUGCCCCUCUCCGAUCCGAUCUGAUUUACCAAUAAUACUGUAUUUCCUUCGGAACCCUGACCUAAUUAUUUGAUUUGGUUCUUAACAUUUUUGUGUGAUUUUCACAUUUUCCCUAACUUCGCAAUUUUUCCUAAGACUACGGUGUCACAAUGCCCUGUACGAAAUUAGGGUUUUGACUGAUGUCGCAGUCACUUUUCGGUGCGGUCACCCAUCGCUGUGACCCCCGGCUCAUUUAACCUUUUAUGCUCUGUUUUUCUUAUUU
rnacentral:misc_RNA from 1 species